GCAAGUCGAACGAACCUUCGGGUGAGUGGCGCACGGGUGCGUAACGCGUGGGAAUGUACAUCUCGGUAAGGAAUAACUGCUGGAAACGGUAGCUAAUACCUUAUAAUGACUCCGGUCCAAAGAUUUAUCGCCGAGGAAUCAGCCCGCGUCGGAUUAGCUUGUUGGUGAGGUAAAAGCUCACAAAGGCGACGAUCUGUAACUGGUCUGAGAGGACGACC
rnacentral:rRNA from 1 species